UUGAUAAGCGCUGAAAGCAUCUAAGCGCGAAGCGAGCCCUGAGAUGAGUCUUCCCUGAUACUUUAAGUAUCCUAAAGGGUUGUUCGAGACUAGAACGUUGAUAGGCAGGGUGUGUAAGCGUUGUGAG
rnacentral:rRNA from 1 species